CAGAGGCUGAUCAAGCACGGGGCGACAAAUUUCGUGGUUCCGGGGACAAUCCCAUCGGGAUGCGCACCGCCGGUUCUCGCCUUGUUCCCCGAUGCCGCCCCGGCAGAAUACAACUCCACCACCGGUUGCCUGGAAGAUAUCAACAAGCUAGGGAUGCACCACAACCUGCUGCUGCAGGAGGCCCUCAAGAAGCUCCGGGGCAGGCACCCGGGCGGCAUGAUCGUUUACGCAGACCUCUUCGGUCCAAUCAUGGACGUGGUGGAGUCGCCUCGCAAGUAUGGGUUUGAAGAUGUUCUUACCAUCUGUUGCGGAGGGCCUGGGACACUUUUCUGUGGUGAUGAAGGUGCAAACCUAUGUGAGAAACCGGCUGCUUGUCUGUUCUAGGACGGCGUCCACUUGACGGAGGCGGCUUACCACUACAUCGCCGAUGUCUGGCUGGACAGCAUGGACUCCCCUGCAAUACAGAGCAGAUAUUAG
rnacentral:rRNA from 1 species